rnacentral:rRNA from 1 species
GAUCAUGGCUCAGAACGAACGCUGGCGGCACGCCUAACACAUGCAAGUCGAGCGCACCUUCGGGUGAGCGGCGGACGGGUUAGUAACGCGUGGGAACAUACCCUUCACUACGGAAUAGCCUCGGGAAACUGAGAGUAAUACCGUAUACGUCCUCCGGGAGAAAGAUUUAUCGGUGAAGGAUUGGCCCGCGUUGGAUUAGGUAGUUGGUGAGGUAAUGGCUCACCAAGCCGACGAUCCAUAGCUGGUUUGAGAGGAUGAUCAGCCACACUGGGACUGAGACGCGGCCCAGACUCCUACGGGAGGCAGCAGUGGGGAAUCUUAGACAAUGGGGGAAACCCUGAUCUAGCCAUGCCGCGUGAGUGACGAAGGUCUUAGGAUCGUAAAGCUCUUUCAACUGUGAAGAUAAUGACGGUAGCAGUAGAAGAAACCCCGGCUAACUCCGUGCCAGCAGCCGCGGUAAUACGGAGGGGGUUAG